AGCGUAGCUCAGUCGGUUAGAGCGCUGGUUUGUGGUACCAGAGGUCACGGGUUCGAGUCCCGUCGCU
rnacentral:tRNA from 1 species